rnacentral:lncRNA from 1 species
GCAGGCGUGCCUGCGCAGUGCGCGGAGGAGUGCUGUUCGUGUGUUCGAGUCCCUGGGUUGCUUCCUGGGGUCUGUGGUGCUGGGUGUGCUAUCUGCGUGUGAUUCUCUAGCGAGAGAUUGUGGGCGAGUGACCGAGUGGGCAAGGGGCCGUCACUGUGUGUGCGUGAUUUUGACAGUGUGUGGUGGUAGCUUCUGACUCCGCGUGGGUCGUUGAAUGUAUGACUGGGACCGUUUAGCGGUGGAUACACAACUGUGUGCGGCUGUGGAAGAUUGCCUCAUCCGUUACGUUCCCAUUUCCGUGGAACAACAGUUUUACCAGAAGGUUUCGAAGGAACCUUAAAGUUUGGAAGCGCGGCUUUGGUGUCAUCAAAUGUGAGAAGCCCUGGACUUUACACAUCCCGAGCCAGUGUGAUCCAGUAUGAUUGGGAGUCCGAGUGCCAGAUGCCGGUCAGGACCUGUUAUGCUGGGUCUCAGAAUGCGGAAACUCUCCCUGUCCGAGGUGGAACAGUUUGUCCUUGAGUGAGGACUGGAGUCCUGAGUGACUCUUUUGAUUUGAUCCUGUUUCCCUCAAACCUGAGAUGGGAGCCUCACUGUAUUGCCCAGGCUGGUCUUGAACUCCGGAGCUCAAGUGAUCGUCUUGCUUCAGCCUUGCAAAAUGAUGGUGAAGCUGCAUCAUUGUCUGGGGUAAAUACCUGAGGUUCGUUGUCUCACGCCAAGGGAAUCAAGGACGUGGACACACAAGAAAUGGAGUCCCUGUCUGACCGGGCCAUGUUGUAUGUUCCUUGCUGUACACGUGGUUGACAAAGAAAAGGGAAGAUGGAGCUGCGAUGUUGGACAUGCCUGGCCCCCAGGACAUACAGCCCUGCCGAGCAAAUAAUGAACGUAACUCACAAACUUCCUGCUUAUCAUCAAACGCACGCAUCCACUUAUCAUCAAACACCUCGGGUGACAGAAGAAUGCAGGUCAGCUCCCUGCUGCCUUGGCAUUAUCAAUCAGCCCAGGAACCAUCCUAUAAAAUCUCCAGCAAGCCUUUGUUUCCUUGCAGUCAGCUCCUCUUCCACUGAUUCUGCCUGUUGCUCCCUGAUAACAUACUUUGAUACUGUCUUUAAUAAAUCUGCCUUUCUUCACCCAC